ensembl:lncRNA
CGUAGAGAAAGAUCUGAAGGCAGAAACCUCGAGUCCGUCGUGGCGAGGGAUCUGAUGGCAGAAACCCUUCACUGGUCUGUCGUGUUGACAAAGAAAAUGGUUCAAAACUGUAAGAAAAACUGAACUACCUCAAGUGAACCCAUAGUGAAGAAGAAACCAUGAGCCUCAUACUACUCUGGGAAAAAGGAGGAAAAAAACACCACCAGUAUCACUCCUGACAGCAACAGAACUGUGGGACACACAGAAACCUCCUGCAACCUCUUCUGCCUGACUUCCUUCUGAAAAAGGACUCAGAUGGGCAAUAGACAGCUACACAGUCCUUAUCAGGAUAAAUAAAAACUUUAAAAUGUGGCCUCCAUGCCAGCUACAUAUAACUACCUUCUUGCCUGGAAAUCGGUGUACCUGAAGAAAAGGAAUACUGAAAGAAGGAAGUUUCACUCUGCAUCAUCUGCUAAAAGGAGGCAGUCACAUAUUUCUAAACUGGGGGAAAAGUAUUUAAAAGAGGCUGGAAUAGCUGACAGAAUGGUACCCCAGGAGCUCUCCAGAAGUUGCACAAUCAGGAGCUGGAUAUUAUCCGCAAGAGCUAGACAAUGUAUUGCCCCAGAAGCUUCUUCGUCUUGACUGUUUGCUUUAUUACCACAUCCCUCGGUAAUCGACAAAGCAACAUCCACAAAUGCUUUGAAAGUGUGCAGUGGAGUGAACUUUUAAAUGAGAUUGAGAAACUUAACAAUAGAAGCUAUUCUUUGGAGUGUGAUGAAGUGAGCAACGAAGAAUUGUGCUUCCCUGAGAAAAUGCUAAAAGCAGUUAAACAUGAUCACGCAGCCAUUGUUCAUAUAGUACAUGAAAUUGCUGAGUUUUUCAAGAGAACAGAUGCACCUUUUCAAAAUAAGAACAUUUUUCUAAGAGAAAUAUAUGAAGCUCAUGCCCAACUCAAGACUUGUCUGAAGCCCAAACUUAACGUCAUUCAUGAGUCUAUAGUGAAAGAGUGCUUCCAAAAAAUGGAUACAUUUGUGUCCAAGACAAAUGAUCAGUGCACUUGGCAAGAGAUCCAUGCACAAUCAAGAGAGCUACUUCAAAGAGUUGAAAACUACUCUUUCAGGAGAAGAUCAACACAUUAAGAAUGUCAGUUCUAAUCAAAUAUUUUGAGGAUGUAUUGUCACAUCAAGAUAAAUUAUGUUAUUUUUUAAAAAAUUAAAGGAAGCAGUAUACACAUAGUUCCUAUUUAAAGAUAUAAGUUACUUAACUUAUUUUUGUUAAGAUAGUUUUGUCAAGAUAUUUUUUCUAACCAACUUAUAAUAACUUUAGUCUUAAUAAAAAGGAUG